AUUGAACGCUGGCGGCAGGCCUAACACAUGCAAGUCGAGCGAGCGGCGGACGGGUGAGUAAUGCCUAGGAAUCUGCCUGGUAGUGGGGGAUAACGUCCGGAAAAGGUAGCUAAUACCGCAUACCAUCAGAUGUGCCCAGGUGGGAUUCGCUAGUAGGUGGGGUAAUGGCUCACCUAGGCGACGAUGCCUAGCUGGUCUGAGAGGAUGACCAGCCACACUGGAACUGAGACACGGUCCAGACUCCUACGGGAGGCAGCAGUGGGGAAUAUUGGACAAUGGGCGCAAGCCUGACGCAGCAAUGCCGCGUGAAUGAAGAAGGCCUUCGGGUUGUAAAGUACUUUCAGUGGGGAGGCGGUACCCGCAGAAGAAGCACCGGCUAACUCCGUGCCAGCAGCCGCGGUAAUAC
rnacentral:rRNA from 1 species